rnacentral:rRNA from 1 species
AGCGAACGCUGGCGGCAGGCCUAACACAUGCAAGUCGAACGAAGUCUUCGGACUUAGUGGCGGACGGGUGAGUAACACGUGGGAACGUGCCUUUAGGUUCGGAAUAACUCAGGGAAACUUGUGCUAAAACCGAAUGUGCCCUUCGGGGGAAAGAUUUAUCGCCUUUAGAGCGGCCCGCGUCUGAUUAGCUCGUUGGUGGGGUAAUGGCCCACCAAGGUUACGAUCAGUAGCUGGUCUGAGAGGAUGACCAGCCACAUUGGGCCUGAGACACGGCCCAAACACCUACGGGAGGCAGCAGUGGGGAAUCUUGCGCAAUGGGCGAAAGCCUAACGCAGCCAUGCCGCGUGGAUGAUGAAGGUCUUAGGAUUGUAAAAUCCUUUCACCGGUGAAGAUAAUGACUGUAGCCGGAGAAGAAGCCCCGGCUAACUUCGUGCCAGCCGCCGCAGUAUAC